rnacentral:lncRNA from 1 species
UGUCAGCUGCUGGACUGCUGCCAUGCUGGCCUGACCACUGUGCCCCCAGCCACCAGUGGAUGGGAUCUUGCUAUCUUAAUAUUAACAGCAGUGCUCAAUUAAAACAAAGUGAUGGCUCUUGAGGAGCACAUUCAAUGCAGGAUGAAUUGUGUUGUCUCCUGGAAGAGCUUGUUUCUCUUUUUUGGCCAUGAAGAAGGCUGGAGUGAACAUCUUGGAUGGUGUGGACUUGUGUACUUGGAUAAAUCCCUCCUUGCAAUUUCAAACCUUCUGCCCUUUUCUUCUGCUGCCAGUGUCCCAGGUCACUGCCUGGACCAGUACCUGGGCCUGAUGGCAAAUCUGUCUCUCUUUCCACCUCCUCCUAGGCUGAGGCUGGACCAGUCCCUUUCAGGAUGUCUCCAGUCCCUCUAAUUCCAAGUGAAGUUAAAUAGAGGCAUUUGUGGUAAACCUGGAAGAAUCUGAAUAAAAUAUGUCUCUGGUGAUGCUUUCA